CCGGGCGAGGUGCGCGAGGUGCAGAAAAGGAUGCCGGGCUGCGGAGCUGGCUUGGCCUGAGGAUUAUAAGGAUUCACUAGACAACUCCUGAAAACGGACUAAAUCCAACUCUCCCAGAAAACAGUGCCAGCUUCCAUCUGGAAUCGCAUCAUAGCACGCUCUUGGCAAUGCUGACAAAAUCUCUACAUGACAUUUGGAGAUGAAGUCUGGAGAGCCCUCAGCCAAAAAUGGUCAGAUAGGACUAAAGAACAGCUGCCUACACGUCAAGUCCAAAGUCUUCACAAUCUCUCAAGAUCCCCUAAAGAUGCAGUCACCCCUAGACAGCUGGAAGUAAAUUUAAGAACACGAUGCCCACACUUCCAAUAGUUGCGGUCUGCAUGUCUGUCAUAAGAUCCAGAAUCCCGGCCGGGCGAAUCCCGGCCGGGUGGUGGUGGCGCACGCCUUUAAUCCCAGCACUCGGGAGGGGCAGAGGCAGGUGAAUCCCUGU